rnacentral:rRNA from 1 species
UGUCCGGCUAGGGGGCGGGAGAGGCCGUCGGUAUUCUUGGGGUAGGGGUGAAAUCCUAUAAUCCCAGGAGGACCACCAGUGGCGAAGGCUGUCGGCUAGAACGCGCCCGACGGUGAGGGAUGAAAGCUGGGGGAGCGAACCGGAUUAGAUACCCGGGUAGUCCCAGCUGUAAACGAUGCAGGCUAGGUGUUAGGGCGGCUACGUGUCGCUCUAGUGCCGCAGGGAAGCUGUUAAGCCUGCCGCCUGGGGAGUACGGCCGCAAGGCUGAAACUUAAAGGAAUUGGCGGGGGAGCACCACAAGGGGUGAAGCUUGCGGUUUAAUUGGAGUCAACGCCGGAAAUCUCACCGGGGGCGACAGCAGGAUGAAAGCCAGAUUAAAGGUCUUGCCAGACGAGCUGAGAGGAGGUGCAUGGCCGUCGCCAGUUCGUGCCGUGAGGCGUCCUGUUAAGUCAGGCAACGAUCGAGACCCGCAUCCCCCGUUGCUACCAGCCUUGAGUUGGGCACACUGGGGAGACCGCCGCCGAUGAGGCGGAGGAAGGAGCGGGCCACGGCAGGUCAGUAUGCCCCGAAU